GUCUAAAGAAGAUUUUAUAUUGAUCUUCAUCUAAUUAGCUAGUUUGAACUAUGGUUUGUGUCAUGAUUCCUGUCUUGAUCUAAUUAGCUACUGCAGUUGAAGCAGCAUGGAUCUGAAAUCAUAAUUGCUGGUGUGCAGAAGGCUUUCUUGUGCAGGUCUAUGUGCUAGAUGGAGGCAUUUCUAAGCAUUGCAAACCAUCAACAGCUUACACUGUGCCUAAAAUUUGUCCAAAGCUCUCCUGAAUACUUACCUCAAUCCUUUCUCCCUGGAAACUGUGUAGUGGGGUUUCCCCUAAAUUCAGCUUAGAUUUAAAAAAGUCUAGUCAUGAGUCUGUACUUUCUUAAGAAUUUUCUUUUCCUUCUGGCCCCUUAAAUUAAUCCCCCAAACUGCAUCCUGUAUAAUCCUUCUAAGAUGCAAAUGUGAUUUAAAAUUAUGCAGUGGCCAGUCAUUGCUCUGAGGGUUAAGUCUCUGACUUGGUCCCAUCACCUGCUGUAACCCAUCUUGAUUUUCACACUUCAGUUAACACUAAAUUGUAUUCCCCCUCCCCCACCACACACACACACAUGCACACACAAUUUUAUGCCCCAGUGCCUAGCUCUUGCUCCCUUUAUCUAGAAUUCGUAGCCUUCCCCUGUGUUUUGUUUUCUGUUUGAGUAGGGGUUUCAUUCUGUCUUCCAAGCUGGAGUGCAGUGACACAAUCAUGGCUCACUCCAGCCUUAAACUCUUGGCCUCAAGCGAUCCUCCCACUUCAGCCUCCUGAGUUAUUGGGACCACAGAUGUAAGCCACAACAGCCAGCCC
rnacentral:lncRNA from 10 species